GACGAACGCUGGCGGCGUGCUUAACACAUGCAAGUCGAACGGAAAGGCCCUGCUUUUGUGGGGUGCUCGAGUGGCGAACGGGUGAGUAACACGUGAGUAACCUGCCCUUGAAUCUGGGAUAACUUCAGGAAAUUGGGUCUAAUACCGGAUAGGAGCUCCUGCUUCAUGGUGGGGGCUGGAACGUAUCGGCGGGUGGGGAUGGAUUCGCGGCUUAUGGGCUUGUUGGUGGGGUAGUGACUUACCAAGGCGUUGACGGGUGGACGGCCGGGGAGGGUGACCGGCCGCAUUGGGACUGAGAUACGGCCCAGACUCCUACGUGAGGCAGCAGUGGGGAAUAUUGCACAAUGGGCGGAAGCCUGAUGCAGCAACGCCGCGUGCGGGAUGACGGCCUUCGGGUUGUAAACCGCUUUCGCCUGUGACGAAGCGUGAGUGACGGUAAUGGGUAAAGAAGCACCGGCUAACUACGUGCCAGCCGCCGCGGUAAUAC
rnacentral:rRNA from 1 species